GAAAUGGUGUCUUUAGACACCACCACUUAUUUUGAAUCCUCUAUUCU
rfam:Picea glauca, whole genome shotgun sequence.